UACGUAGGGUGCAAGCGUUAAUCGGAAUUACUGGGCGUAAAGCGCACGCAGGCGGCCGAGUAAGUCUGACGUGAAAUCUCCCGGCUUAACCGGGAGCGGUCGUUGGAAACUACUUGGCUUGAGGCGAUGAGAGGGGUGUGGAAUUCCCGGUGUAGUGGUGGAAUGCGUAGAUAUCGGGAGGAACAUCAGUGGCGAAAGCGGCACCCUGGCAUUAGCCUGACGCUCAGGUGCGAAAGCGUGGGGAGCGAACGGG
rnacentral:rRNA from 1 species